rnacentral:sRNA from 1 species
GCUAGGCAUGGUGGCCUAUGCCUGUAAUCCCAGCAGCUCAGAAGGCUGAAGCAGGAGGAUCACAAAUUUGAGGCCAGCCUCAGGAACUUAAUGAAGCCCUAAGCAACUUAGUGAGAUCCUGUCUUUA